CCUACGGGAGGCAGCAGUGAGGAAUAUUGGUCAAUGGACGAGAGUCUGAACCAGCCAAGUAGCGUGAAGGAUGACUGCCCUAUGGGUUGUAAACUUCUUUUAUAUGGGAAUAAAAUGUUCCACGUGUGUGAUUUUGUAUGUACCAUAUGAAUAAGGAUCGGCUAACUCCGUGCCAGCAGCCGCGGUAAUCCGGAGGAUCCGAGCGUUAUCCGGAUUUAUUGGGCUUAAAGGGAGCGUAGGUGGAUUGUUAAGUCAGUUGUGAAAGUUUGCGGCUCAACCGUAAAAUUGCAGUUGAAACUGGCAGUCUUGAGUACAGUAGAGGCGGGCGGAAUUCGUGGUGUAGCGGUGAAAUGCUUAGAUAUCACGAAGAACUCCGAUUGCGAAGGCAGUUCACUGGACUGCAACUGACACUGAGGCUCGAAAGUGUGGGUAUCAAACAGGAUUAGAUACCCUGGUAGUC
rnacentral:rRNA from 1 species